rnacentral:rRNA from 1 species
GGGAAAUUUAAGAGCAUAUGGUGGAUGCCUUGACUCUAAGAGGCGAUGAAGGACGUAGCGUAGCUGCGAUAAGCUUCGGGGAGGUGCCUAGCAACCUUUGAUCCGGAGAUCUCCGAAUGGGGAAACCCCUCCCUGCGCAAGCAGGGUGAGCCUGCGUUGCGCGGGUAAAUUCCAAAUUACAAAUUCCAAAUCACAAACAAAUUCAAAAUUUCAAUUUCUAAAUUCAAAACGAGGACUCAAUGUUUCGUUUUUAAUUUCUAAUUUUGGUCAUUGGAUAUUGUUUGAAAUUUGGCGCUUGUGAUUUGUGAUUUUCGCGCGCAGCGCGGGUAGCAUACCCAGGGAAGUAAAACAUUUCAGUACCUGGUGGAAAAGAAAACAAUGCCGCGCAAGCGGCGACAUUUCCUUAGUAGUGGCGAGCGAAAAGGAAAUAGCCCAAACCGGCGUGCUUCGCACGCAGUUUAUAAAGUAAAAAGUUUAUAAAGUUCAUAAAGUAAAAGAGGAAUGCGCUUUGCAUUUGUCUUCACUUUAUGACUUUACGGACUUGAUGAACUUUGUGACUUGCGCGCGAAGCGCGUUGGGGUUGUAAGACGGUAGCGUCAUUAUUUAUAAUGAGAAAAGUUACAAAAUAUUUCGUUAGCAGAAUUUGCUGGGAAGCAAAGCCCUAGAGGGUAAUAGCCCCGUAAGUGAAAAUGAAAUAUCUUUUCCGCUGCUGUUCUUGAGUACCUCAAGACACGAAUGGCUUGGGGGAAUCUGCCGGAACUAACCGGUAAGGCUAAAUACUCUUAGAGAUCGAUAGUGAACAAGUACCGUGAGGGAAAGGUGAAAAGUAGCCCGGUAAGGGCAGUGAAAUAGACCUGAAACCAUAUGCUUACAAGGAGUCGGAGCCGUGCAUAGCACGGAAAUUCCAAAUUACAAAUUCCAAAUCACAAACAAUGCCCAAUAUCCAAAUUACAAAACUCCAAACGAGACACCUCGUUUUUAAUUUGUAAUUUCGGUCAUUGGAUUUGUUUGUAAUUUGGUGUUUGAUUAUUGGUGCUUCCGUGCUGUGCGCGGUCACGGCGUGCCUAUUGAAGAAUGAGCCAACGAGUUGAUGUAUGCUGCUUAGCUAAGCCCCCAAAGGGUGGAGCUUUAGGGAAACCGAGUGUGAAUAGCGCGUAUCGUGCUUCGCACGCAGUUUAUAAAGUAAAAAGUCUAUAAAGUCCAUAAAGUAAGAGAGGAAUGCAUUUCGCGUUUGUCUUCACUUUAUAACUUUACGGACUUGAUGAACUUUGUGACUUGCGCGCGAAGCGCGUAGUAGUAUACAUCAGACCCGAAGCCAAGUGAGCUUGCCAUGAGCAGGGUGAAUCCCGACGAAAGUCGGGAGGAGGCCCGAACCGGUUAGCCGUGCAAUACUAUCGGAUGACUUGUGGUAAGAAGUGAAAAGCUAAUCGAACUUGGUAAUAGCUGGUUCUCUCCGAAAUAGCUUUUGGGCUAGCGUCUGGAUUACCUUCUGGGGGUAGAGCACUGGAUGGUCUAAACAGGGAGAAAUCUCAUUAGACCAAUCAAACUCCGAAUACCAGAAGUAAACUUCCAGGCAGUUAGACCGUGGGGGCUAAGCUCCAUUGGUCAAAAGGGAAACAGCCCGGAUCUCAACUUAAGGUCCCUAAAUCUAUGCUAAGUACGCUUGAGGUGGUGGAAUUUCACAGACAGUGAGGAUGUUGGCUUAGAAGCAGCCAUCAUUUAAAGAUAGCGUAACAGCUCACUCACUAAGAGAUUCUGCGCCGCAGAUAAUCGGGGUUAAGCAUAGUACCGAAAUUGAGGGUUUGUGCGAAGCACAAACGAGUUAAAAGUCUUAAAGUCCUUAAUGUCAUUAAAGUAAGCACAGAAAUGUAUUUACUUUCGACUUUCGACUUUUUACUUUCGACUCGCUUGUGCUUCGCACAAGCGGUAGGAGAGUAUUCUCAUCGCGAUGAAGCCAAAGGCGUGAGCCAUGGUGGAGCGUUGAGAAGUAAGAAUGUUGGCACAAGUAACCACAAUGCGGGUGAGAACCCCGCACGCCGAAAGACCAAGGUUUCCUUGGCGAUGACAAUCAGCCAAGGGUUAGUCGGGCCUAAGCGGAUGGCGAAAGCCGCACGCGAUGGACACAUGGUUAAUAUUCCAUGACUUUUAUGUAUUGUGACGGGAGGACGGAGUCUAGUAUGUUUUGCGCAUUAUUGGAUUUGCGUUCGUGUCGUAAGGAGGGCUUCCAGGAAAAUCCGGAAGCGCGCCGCAAGGCAACUUCAAGCGAAGCGAAAAUCCGCCGGUUCGCCGGUGGAAAUGAGACAAAGCAGGCUCUCAAGAAAAUUCCCUAAACUUAAAUAUGUAAAAUCCGUACCGCAAACCGACACAGGUGGUCAGCUCGAGUAGAGCAAGGCGAACGAGUGAGAGGUCCCCAAGGAACUCGGCAAAAAAGCAGCCGUAACUUCGGAAUAAGGCUUUCCCUGGGCACUACUUUGUUUUUUAGUAUUUGUAAAUUAUAUUAGGGUUCAAAAUUCAAUUAAAAAGGAGAUAAUCUAUGGCUAAAUUUCUUUUAAAGAUGUCGGGUACAGAUCAGAAUGGAAAAACCAUUGAAACACUUCGCACUGUUCACGGAGACCAAAAGGAAAUUGAUCGGGCAGCAUGGGAGAUUACACAAUCCUGGAUAAAAGAAGGUAUCUGUAACAUCCAUGUUGUUGGGGUUGGGGAAGUUCUCCAAUCUUUUGACUCAAGUCAAAAUUGAAUUUUCCCUGUGAUGUUUCCGCGAAAACUUUCGCGGAAACAUCACUCUAAUAUAGUUUGCAAGUGAUAACUUAAAAAUAAAGUAGUGCUCGGGGACGCAGCUAAAGUAUCUCUGGCAACUGUUUAUCAAAAACACAGCUCCCUGCGAACUCGUAAGAGGAUGUAUAGGGGGUGACACUUGACCAAUGCCAGAAGGUCAAAUACCGACGGUGUUCAGCACUUAUUUCUUAAAAUAUUUUUGAGAAAUAAGUGCUGGAUGCUGAUUGGUAUAAGCCCUGGUGAAUGUCGGCCGUAACUAUAACGGUCCUAAGGUCCAGCACUUAUUUUUUUAAAAAAUAAGUGCUGGAGGACUGGGACUGUUAUAGCCAGUAAAAAAUAAACUGGGAUAAACAAAUUAAACACAUAAUCAUUACAUUUUAGAGCUACCUAUCAUGCCGUAAUGCAUGAAUAGUCCAUCGUGAUCAACGAGAGACCAACGUCACGGACCCAAACUUGCAAAGUGGGUUAAGAGAGAGUCCUUCUUUAAGGAAGAGAAGAGCGAAAUUCCUUGUCGGGUAAGUUCCGACGCGCACGAAUAGUGUAAUGACUGGAGAACUGUCUCGGGGGCUUGCUCGGUGAAAAUACAGUACCGGUGAAGAUGCCGGUUACCUGCAGCUAGACGAAAAGACCCUAGGAGCUUUACUACAAUUUUAUAUUGAGUGUAUGUUUCAACUGCGUAGCGUAGACGGUAGACUUUGAAGUCUUGUUCUCGGAUGAGAUGGAGUCGUCGAUGAAACACCGUUCUUUUGUGAUAUGCAUUCUAAUCCGCGCGGCAAAAACGAGCGGAGACAGUAUAUGAUGGGUAGUUUUAGUGGGGCGCUAUCCUCCCAAAAAGUAACGGAGGAGCCUAUUAAGGUUGGCUAGGCGCGAAUGGAAACCGUGCUGAUAGUGUAAUGGCACAAGCCAGCUUGACUGCGAGGCGUACUUGCCGAGCAGGUGCGAAAGCAGAGCAUAGUGAACCGAUGGUCCGCAUUAGACGCGGCCAGAGAUUAUCGGACAAAAGCUACCCUAGGGAUAACAGGCUGGUAGUGCCUAAGCGUCCAUAGCGACGGCACUGUUCGGCACCUUAACUCUCAAUUAAACACUGAGAAACAUCGGGGUGCCUAUCGCAGUAAUGCGAUACAAAAAUAAUUUGGCUU